rnacentral:rRNA from 1 species
GAGUUUGAUCGUGGCUCAGGAUGAACGCUGGCGGCGUGCUUAACACAUGCAAGUCGAACGAAGCGCUCAAGCGGAUUUCUUCGGAUUGAAGUUUUUGCGACUGAGUGGCGGACGGGUGAGUAACGCGUGGGUAACCUGCCUCAUACAGGGGGAUAACAGUUAGAAAUGACUGCUAAUACCGCAUAAGCGCACGGUGCUGCAUGGCACAGUGUAGAAAAACUCUGGUGGUAUGAGAUGGACCCGCGUCUGAUUAGCUAGUUGGUGGGGUAACGGCCUACC